rnacentral:sRNA from 1 species
GCCAGGCAUGGUGAUGCACGCCUGUAAUCCUAGCGACUUGGGAGGCUGAGACAGGAGGAUUGCGAGUUCAAAGCCAGGCUCAGCAAAAGUGAGGCACUAAGCAAAUCAGUGAGAUCCUGUUUCUA